CCUACGGGAGGCAGCAGUGAGGAAUAUUGGUCAAUGGACGUACGUCUGAACCAGCCAAGUAGCGUGAAGGAUGACUGCCCUAUGGGUUGUAAACUUCUUUUAUCAAGGAAUAAAGCGAGCCACGUGUACCCUUUUGCAUGUACUUUGUGAAUAAGGAUCGGCUAACUCCGUGCCAGCAGCCGCGGUAAUACGGGGGAUCCGAGCGUUAUCCGGGAUUUUUGGGGUUAAAGGGAGCGUAGAUGGGUUUUUAAGUCCGGUGGGAAAGUUUGCGGCUCAAACGUAAAAUUGCAAUUGAUACUGGCAUUCUUGAGUACAGUUGAAGUAGGCGGAAUUCGUGGUGUAGCGGUGAAAUGCAUAGAUAUCACGAAGAACCCCGAUUGCGAAGGCAGCUUACUAAACUGUGACUGACAUUGAUGCACGAAAGUGUGGGUAUCGAACAGGAUUAGAUACCCUUGUAGUC
rnacentral:rRNA from 1 species